CAUCCCGACCCACUAUCUCUCCUCUCGCUCUAUAUCUCUCGUGUUUAUCUCUCUACAAACACACAAACCUACAUAUACUUCAACCUAUAUUUUAUCCAUUUCUAGUGAGAUUCGAGAUUUGAGCAAGAAGGAAAGUGUGACCUCUUUUCAUCAAGGGCUUUCAUUUGAUCCAAGAAUUGAAAGGAUUGUAGCAUUUCAAAAUUUUGAGGAAAGACUUUGGCUCAUCUUUGAGCGACUCCUCCUUAAUCUAGCAACUCAUCCCUAAUCUAUACAAUCAUUGAACGCUACCAGGCAGAGUAUUGAUUUUUGACAAAGCCGUAACAGCCUAAUGAUGUCUUCGAGCCUUUAACACAGAUUUCCAGAAGGCGAUCUAUCCUUCCAGAUUAAUAUCAAUGGCUUUAUCUCCAAGUGCUUCAUCCAACAAGGUGGACAGUACAUCAUCAAGGACAAUAAUGAACAGUCAUGGUUCUUUAGCAAAGCUGAAAUUGAGCGAUGGCAAUAGCCUGUAUGCAAAUUAAUGAGUGAGGAUGAUUUUGUGAAAUCUAUAAAUAAUGCUUUGGAUUAUGGACAUGGCCCUUAUCCUCAGUCUCGGUUAUUUGGUCAGACCUAUUUUCUUAGCUUAGAGCAGACGUGACAUCAUCAGCCGGUGAGUGUUUUGAAGUUCCACCGAAAGUGGUCAAGUUGGUUUAAGGUAGAAUGGUGUUUCCAUUUUUUUUUUUUU